rnacentral:rRNA from 1 species
UUUAAUGAGAGUUUGAUCCUGGCUCAGGACGAACGCUGGCGGCGUGCCUAAUACAUGCAAGUAGAACGCUGAUGUUUGGUGUUUACACUAGACUGAUGAGUUGCGAACGGGUGAGUAACGCGUAGGUAACCUGCCUCAUAGCGGGGGAUAACUAUUGGAAACGAUAGCUAAUACCGCAUAAGAGUAAUUAACACAUGUUAGUUAUUUAAAAGGAGCAAUUGCUUCACUGUGAGAUGGACCUG